UAGGGAAUCUUCGGCAAUGGGGGCAACCCUGACCGAGCAACGCCGCGUGAGUGAAGAAGGUUUUCGGAUCGUAAAGCUCUGUUGUAAGAGAAGAACGUGUGUGAGAGUGGAAAGUUCACACAGUGACGGUAACUUACCAGAAAGGGACGGCUAACUACGUGCCAGCAGCCGCGGUAAUACGUAGGUCCCGAGCGUUGUCCGGAUUUAUUGGGCGUAAAGCGAGCGCAGGCGGUUUAAUAAGUCUGAAGUUAAAGGCAGUGGCUUAACCAUUGUUCGCUUUGGAAACUGUUAAACUUGAGUGCAGAAGGGGAGAGUGGAAUUCCAUGUGUAGCGGUGAAAUGCGUGGAUAUAUGGGGGAACACCGGUGGCGAAAGCGGCUCUCUGGUCUGUAACUGACGCUGAGGCUCGAAAGCGUGGGGAGCAAACAGG
rnacentral:rRNA from 1 species